CAAGUGAAAAUUUCUAUCGUCACAAAUAUGCAUGCACUUCAAGAAGAGCAAAUCUAUUUGAAAAAUGUGUUCGUUCGUUCGUACAGCGUUAUUAAAAUUUGAGGAGCAGUUUGCAUAAUAAUUUGUGAUUAUAUUACAUUCACGUGGACUGGUGUAGUAGCAACAAAAAACGGGAAUAAUGUGUUAUUUGCAUUCCAAAGUCAGUCAGUAAAAGCACGCACACUUAAGACUCGAACUUUUUUUUACAGUUUUCAUGAUCUCUCGCUCGACUAGUGAUACGAAAAUACAUCACAAACUGAGUAAGACGACUAUGUUGCAUGUGAUGCUGGACAAAAAAUGGAUUUGCAUGCACUGAAUGUGAGUGUAAUUGCAUCUUCCGCAUCUCAUCCUCCACCUCCACCUCGACUUAAAGAAGAAGAAGACAAAAAAAGAAGUUCUUCUUAAGAGGACGGAACGGAACGGAUUGGAAAAAAUGAAGAUGAAGAUCGUCAUCGUGACGAUGAUGAUGAUGAUUUGACACACGUGUCCAAUUUUGGGAGGAUAUAACGCCGAAUGGGAGAUUUUUGGAGGAUAUAACGCCGAAUAUGGGAUUUUUGGGUAAAUUAUGACCCAAAAACAUAAAGAUUUGAUUUCAUCUUGUUCAAAAAUGUUGUGAAAUUUUGGAAAACUUGAAAAAUAUGAUUUUAUAUUUUCAUGGGAAAACUCAGACUCCUAGUUUAAAUAACUCGUAAGAAUGGCGUAAUAAAGUUUCAUUUAAACUUUAUUACAAGUAUUAGAUAAUUGAAAUUAUAUUUAAAUUUUAAGCUGGAAAAAUAAUUGUACUUAUUUUGUUUUUUCUUGUAGUGGAUAACGCCGAAUAUGAGAUUUUUGGGUAAAUUAUGAUCUAAAAACAUAUAAAGAUAUGUCAGGUUUUUGGUCAAAAAUGUUGGCAAAUUUUGGAAAAUUUGAAAACUACUAUUUUCUAUUUUUAAUGGGAGGACUUGGGACUUCUCAGUUUAAAGUGCUCGUAGCUGUGGCGUAACAAUGUGUCAUUUAAACUUGAUUACAACUCUUAAUUGAAAUUCUGCUUAAAUUUUAAGUCUGAAAAAUUAUACUUAUUUGAUUAAAUUGAAGUCAACAAUUUGAUUACAUUUCAAAUCGCAGACGAGUUAAGACAAAAUAUUUUAAAUGUAAUUAAUUAAUUUUAAGUUUAAUUCAAUCAUACUCAAAUAUGACCUAUCAUAUUUUUCGAUAGCAUAUGCACAGGUCUGAAAAUUGAUUAUCGCCCUUAAACUUACUCAAGAAUAUGAAUUAGCCUAAAUUAUUAUUUUCUUUACUGAUAAAAAAAUGAUCAGCUUAUAUAAUCCAA